rnacentral:ncRNA from 1 species
UGAUAGCGUGGAAGCGGAGGUUGCCAUAGACGCGUUCGACAGUCUAUGGGUUAUUUCGUGGAGCGAAUGUCAAGUUCAGAGAAACUGACGACAA